rnacentral:rRNA from 1 species
GGAGUUUGGGCCGUGUCUCAGUCCCAAUGUGGCCAUUCGCCCUCUCAGGUCGGCUAUGCAUCGUCGCCUUGGUAGGCCGUUACCCCACCAACCAGCUAAUGCACCGCAGGUCCAUCCAUGUUCAGGGCCGCAGCCCCUUUAAUAAGGUCCUCAUGCGAGAUCCCUACCUAUCCGGUUUUAGUUUCCGUUUCCAGAAAUUAUCCCGGGCACAUGGGCAGGUUACCUACGUGUUACUCACCCGUUCGCCACUGACUUCCAAAAAAGCAAGCUUUUCUCUUUAGUCCGUUCGACUUGCAUGUAUUAGGCAUGCCGCCAGCGUUCAUC